rnacentral:lncRNA from 1 species
GGGGAGCGUGAGUCAUGUUGCACAGUUGAGCUGGCACAUAAAACUGCGAGUCACACCAGAAGAGGGCAUUGGAUCCCACUAUAGACUGUUGUGAGCCACCUUGUGGUUGCUAGGAAUUGAACUCAGGACCUCUGGAAGAGCAGUUGGUGCUCUUAACUGCUGAGUCAUCUCUCCAGCCCCAGGUAACCUCAUUCUGAUGCUUAGGAUCCACACGUUAGUCGGAGAAUGAUAAGCAUAUUGUGGAGCACAAAAGGGGAAAGGCCCCUUGUGGGUGGGACCAUCUCUGGGCUGGUAGUCUUGGGUUCUAUAAGAGAGCAGGCUGAGCAAGCCAGGGGAAGCAAGCNUCCAGUCCUGACUUCUUUCAGUGAUGAACAGCAAUGUGGAAAUGUAAGCUGAAUAAAUCCUUUCCUCCCCAACUGCUUCUUGGUCAUGAUGAAUAGAAACCCUGACUAAGACACCAGGCCUCCCAGAGCCCCAAGUCUGGGUGUGGGAAAUUAUGUCUCCCCGUUAGUUUAACUGACUCAAACUUCAGACUUUGUAAAAGGACAUUUUUCUAAAAUAAAGAAGAAAUGGUACAGAGACACAUGACUGUAUAAUGUCUGGGUUGAUUCCUCCCAAGAAAACAAAAGCCAGCAACAAAUUAACUUGAGCCACGACUCUAAAACUUCUAGAGCACACCAGCGUGAUAGUGUAAGUAUUCUACUUGUUUCAUGAUAUAUCCCAAUUCAGGCUAAAUAACUUUGUGAUUAGGUGUUCUGCCCAGUUUAUAGAGCAAGGAAUUGAAGCUUGGAGAAGAUUGAUGGACCACUCAAGUUCUCUGGAUGGUCCAGGAUGCAGACUGAGGCUGGCCUAAAACGUUAGUUUUGCUGACUCCCUGUGCUUGGCUAACCUUAGAGCCUCUUACCUUGCCAUAGUCUUUUCUAUGAAGGACAGAGAGCCAAGGAGUGGACCAACAUGCCUGAGUUUACACAGUGGACCUGAGGACCUUCACCUCCCAGUGCAAUGUUCCUGUGUACUGCCACUGAAGAGACAGGUGGGAGGGAGCUCAAGGUUGAUUUGCCUAACAACCAUUGCUUGAAAGACAAAGCUCCCAAGGAGAGCACAAGAUACCUCACUCGAGACUCCUCUGCAUCACCAACCAGUGUGAACAAAGCCUGCAGCUGUCAGCAGAGUAUUCUUUGUCUCGGUGACACGCUGUGCCUACAGUUGGACUAGAAACUUUGGAUUAGGGUGUGAGUCGUGCCCCAUAGGACAGAGGUGGUGCAUGUAGCCUCUUUUUGGAGUUUAUUUAGAGAGGAGAAAGAAUGUACCAUAGUCCCCAAAGGCUCUAGGUUACAGUGAAUUCUCUUUAGUUCAGUUAUAGUUUAGUUUAGCUUGGUUUGGUUAGCUGUGGUUCCGUUCUGUUCUGUUCGGUUCAGUUCGGUUCAGUUGCAGAGUUGUUGCUCUUUCAUGCUUUGUAUUCCAACUCCCUGCUCUCUCUUGGCUUUGGUUCCCAUCAGGUCCAGAAUAAAUGGCAAGGAGAGGGUCAUAGAACGAGCUAAACGAUGCUUUUUAUUGGCAGG